UCUGGGUAUACACCAUUGCAUCACAAGGGCCACCCAGAAUUGGCUCAACUCCCAUCAAGCCAAGUUUCUGGAGGAGAUCACCCAGCUCAUCAUGGUAGAGCAGUUUUUCAAUGUGCCCCCCAACGAGAAGGCGACGACUCAUUCGUACGUCAAUCUAUAUCAACUUUCGAUGCCAUUGACUGCGCCUACCAUGGUGACCAUGAGUAAUGAGGAAUCAGGGUUCGAUUCCAUACAGGGACCCUGACAAACGACUACCACAUGCAAGGAAGGCAGCAGGUGCGCAAAUGACUCACUCCCGACGCGGGAAGGUAGUGACGA